rnacentral:rRNA from 1 species
UACGAAGGAGGCUAGCGUUGCUCGGAAUCACUGGGCGUAAAGCGCACGUAGGCGGAUUGUUAAGUCAGGGGUGAAAUCCUGGAGCUCAACUCCAGAACUGCCUUUGAUACUGGCGAUCUCGAGUCCGGGAGAGGUGAGUGGAACUGCGAGUGUAGUGGUGAAAUGCGUAGAGAUCCGGAGGAACACCAGUGGCGAAGGCGACACGCUGGGCCAUACCUGACGCUAAAGCGCGACAGCAUGGGGAGCAAACGGG